UACGGAGGGUGCGAGCGUUGUCCGGAAUCACUGGGCGUAAAGGGCGCGUAGGCGGCGCGGGUAGUCAUCGGUGAAAGUUCAGGGCUCAACUCUGAAUCGGCCGGUGAUACUCCCGUGCUCGAGCACUGUAGAGGCAGGUGGAAUUCCGGGUGUAGCGGUGGAAUGCGUAGAGAUCCGGAAGAACACCGGUGGCGAAGGCGGCCUGCUGGGCAGUAGCUGACGCUGAUGCGCGAAAGCCAGGGGAGCAAACGGG
rnacentral:rRNA from 1 species